rnacentral:tRNA from 1 species
GCCGAUGUGGCUCAACGGUAGAGCACGGCUUUCGUAAAGCCGGGGUUGUGGGUUCAAUUCCCACCAUCGGCU